GGGUAUUCACUAUAUGAUUUUUUAAUAAUCUAAUUCUUUUUUUUUUUUUUGUAAGAGGCUGUGGGUAUUCACUAUAUGAUUUUUUAAUAAUCUAAUUUUUAUAUGAUUUUUUUUUAAUAAUCUAAUUCUUUAGUUUAUCAUUUUAGUUGGCUAUUAUUAUACGUGACAUGCAAAAUAUUUCCCAUGAUGCAUCAAGUUACUACUACUGUACAGAGAUACAAUCG
rnacentral:lncRNA from 1 species